ensembl:lincRNA
GUUUCCAUGUAGAGUUGACCUGAUCCUCAAGGUUUCAUUCCUCUAGCUGAACUUAAAGCUAUCUUCAGAAGGCCCAUGACUUUGCAGCUUCUCAUUCAACUGCAGAAUAUACAUCAGGACCGGAUGUGCUUGGAAAUCCACUUUACAACAGAUUCCUGUGGCAUCAAAAACAACUCUUUUCAACACCACCUGGUCCCAGGGAAUGCCAGUUUUGGGAAGUUUGGCUUAGUUCUUCUCGAGCACCUUCUUUGGAUUUGCCGCAUUGGAACUCCUCAGUCACCAGUGUGUGCCUCUUGUUCACUUGCCCUGAAACUACAUUGCUGACCAUAUGCUUUCCGCCCCUGAUACCUAGCCGGGGCAGCACUGAUAAUGGCCUAUUGGCUUGCCUCUGAGAACCCAGCGUUGGACAGCCUGUAUAGAACAAUGGUUGAAAGCAGUCUUUGGAGCUCCAAGGGCUCUGCACAUUUGCUUGAGUCCCCAUAACAUGGUGGAGAUGGUAGCACCUACCUCAGAAGGUUGUUAAAUUAAUUAAUGAACCCACGUAAUAAAGCACCUAGAAUACUGCCUGGACCAUAAAGUGUCAUUUAUUGCUAUAUCUUUUGUAUUUAAGGUCAUUCUCUUUAACUUUUGUUAUUGGGAUGAAGUCAGUAGCUUUUUAUGCUUCUGAGAGAGGAAAACCUCUUCAUCUUGUUUCCUGUGUCAUAACAGAAACAGAGAAAGAUGAUAGAAAUUCAGUAAAUCUUCCCCUCAUAUUUGGUCAGAUAAGAGCAGGGGCUUGGAGCCAGGCUGCCUAGCUUGACCACUUACCACAAGCAAGUUUCUUAACCUCUCCAGCCUCAGUGUCUUUAUCUGUAUAAAGGGAAUAACAAUUGUCUCUGGUCAUAGGGCUGUUGGGAAAACCAAGACAGCAUGAAUAACAGGCUUGCGCAUAGUGAGUGCUCAAUAUAGAUAGCUACUAAAUUAAUUCUGAUGCAACAGAUUCAAGUCUGCUACUACUGAGCUCCAACUACGUGUUUAUUCUAUAUAGGGACUGCAUUUAACAAUAUUCCCACAAGGAACACACAGUAUCUUCACUUAACUGAUAAGGAGCUUUGAAAGGUUAAAUGGCAUGCAGCAAUUCUGCUCUUAGAAGGCGAUAGAGCUGAAAUGUGACGCCAGGUCUUCUGAUUCACAGGCUCGUGUUCUUUCUUCUAAACCCCUGGAUAUCUCUGUGAGACAUGCAUAUCUGAUUACCCCAAGGAUUCUCAGGGCCAACAGUAAAUAGGGUAGAGAGACUGUCAUUCCCUGCCUUCUGCUUACUGCCAGAAACCUUUCCAAUUAUUUUUGUGUGACCAACACAUACAAAAAUGCACAACAUGCUUUAAACAGUUAAGCAAUAAAACAUAAUUUUCCCAUAAUCCUACUCUUGGAUUCUUUUCUCUCAAAGUUUCAAAGACUUUCUUAGAAUGUCCAAAUGACCCUCAGAAAGUUUUUCAUCAGAAAAGUUGUGUUGUUUUUUUCCCCACUGAUUCCAAAACAGUGAGUUGACUCCUCUUCUUCCUGGAAGGCUUUCUAAGUCAUUACAAAUAGCAUUUUUCUUUAUAGUUCUCAAGUGACCUUUAGUGCAAACAUUUCUUUCUUCUUCCUGGGGUGGGUUCUGACAUCAUUCUCCAGGAACACAAAGGCCUCCACAAGGUCGAUUUAUCCUGCUGAGACUCUGGAAAGGAUCUCUUCUCCUCUGACCAUGUCUUAAUUCACAAUUGAGGGAAAAAUAUCUAGCAGUGAGUCUCUUUCCCUAUUUUCUUUACGCUUGGUUUUUAAAAGUCAGUUAUUCUAACAUCUGCUUGGAACAUUUUAUUGUCCCCAGUCAGAAGUAUGGUUUUGUAUUUUUUAGCCAAUUAUUUCUUAUCUUUGGUUACUUCUGCUCUUUUUUAAUUCAAAUCAGUCAGCAUCUGUUCCCAGGAUUCAGUGCCAAGGUGCCACCCAGUUUAGGAAAGCUAAUCUUUGAUCUUUUUCUUUUGCCUCUUCUUGGUACCACACACUAGUUUUCAUCCCCAUUUCCCCCACAUUCUCAUACCUCCCUUUGCAAAUUCACUUGAGAUUUUAGAAAGAAAAGAAAACUUUAAAAGGAGAGCUAAGAUGCUCGUUCAGAUAAAACGCUGAAUCCAGACAGCCAAAAGCUAUGUGGUUUUCUCUGAGUUUGCUCUGUUCUGCCUAGAUGUGGUGUGGCUUAAUGGGGAGAGAAGCUGCCAGCUUAGAACAGAGCAGAAGGAUUUUCAGCAUCAGCUCCUCCCAUGUCGUGGGUCUCUGGUAAGUUUCCCAGUCUUUUGUUACCCAGGUAGCUUUUUCAUGUCGUGGGCAUAAUGGUAGAAAUCACCUCCACAGGCCAAACGGAAGGCACAAGAUUAAUGUCAGGAGAGAGGCCCUUUAGUAAGGCUGCUUCCUUACUAAGACCAGUCUCUGAUAUUUGCAGUUACUUUUCUUUCACUUUUUGGUGCAAACAGGUUUUCUUUUGAACAGAGCUAACAAUGAUUUUGCAGUUUCACACUGACAGAAUUUUUGUCCAGCUUUUGAAGGAAAUCUAUUUAUGCAUGAUGAGUCUUCUGAAUUCUAAAUCACUGUUAUAGACAUUUUUAAAGUGAGAGUUGUGUAACACAUGUAAGAUGGAGUAACAAAACAGUUUUUACAAGUGCUUAGGCUGGGCGCGCUGGCUCGCACUUGUAAUCCCAGCACUUUGAGAGGCCGAUGUGGGUGGAUCACUUGAGGUCAGGAGUUCAAGACCAGCCUGGCCAACAUAGUAAAAACCCAUUUCUACUAAAAAAUACAAAAAUUAGCCAGACGUGAUGGCAGAUGCCUGUAAUCCCAGCUACUCGGUAGCUGAGGCAGGAGAACUGCUUGAACCCAGGAGGCAAAUGUUUCAGUGAGCUGAGAUCGUGCCCCUGCACUCCAGCCUGGGUGACAGAGCGAGACUUUGUCUCAAAACAAUAAACAAACACAGUGCUUUAAAAGGACUUUUUAAUCAUGGUCAUUCAAUCAACAAACAUUUAUUUAGUGCCUUACUCUGUCAGAUGCUACUUUAGACCCCAGCAAUAUAGUAGUGAGGAAAACAGACACACAGGCCCUGUCUUUCUGGGGUUUAGAGUCCAGCUAUCUUCUGCCACCACAGUAGGAGUUUAAGUUGUGGUUUUUCUAAGUCAAAUGUAAAGCUUGACACUUGUCUUGAAACCACAUGAAAAGCCACAGGACAGUGGAAGAGAAAAAGAUGCUUAAAAAACAAAAAGAUUCUGCGAUUCCCAGGAGGAUUUUAUCUCCUGAUCACUUUCCUAAGUAGUUGGACCUUUUUACCCAGGGCCAUGAGCCUGAAUACAUUAGUUCCUUCUACGGUGUGGAGAUCAGUGACCAGCUAAAAAUAAGGGCUAGUAAACUACUUCUGGUGGUCAAAUCUGCUCUACCAUCUUUGUUUGCAUGGGCUAUGAGCUAAGAAUACUUUUUACAUUUUUAUGUACCUGAAAGAAAUAAAAAGAAUAAUAAUAUUUUGUGAAACAGAAAAAUAACAUAAAAUUCGUAUUUCAGUUUCCAUAAAUACAAUUUCAUGGGAACAUAGCCUGGCCCAUUCAUUUAUGUAUUGUGCUGUAAGGGUAGAGUUUAAGAGUUGCAACAGAGAUUGUAUAGUUGACAAAGCCUAAAAUAUUCAUCAUCUGGCUCUUUAAAGAAAGUAUUUUCUGACCUCUCGUGUAAAAAACUUUCUGGUGCUGUCACUUCACACUGCUUGGCUGUAGCCAUCUCCUUACUUGCUGAGAGACAUGGCAACUUCAAACAGCCAUCCUCUUCUGUAUUGCAUGAAAUACAGGGUAAGCCAUAGGAACAACAGAGAAUGGUACAUUUAUAAGCAGGUUUGAAUUUUCUUAAGCCACAAACUUGAGUGUGCAAAAUAGAUACAAUUAUUUUGUAUAAUGUAACUUAAUUUACUUAACAUCGUAACAUGCAACCUUAAUCAUUUCUAGAAAACCUCUGUGUUUUCUCAUUCUUUUCAUGUUAAAAUUCAGUUAAUUCAUCAGGUACAGUGGCUCAUACCUGUAAUCCCAGUAGUUUGGGAGGCCAAGGCAGGAGGAUCAUGAGGUCAAGAGAUCAAGACUAUCCUGGCCAACAUGGUGAAAUCCCAUCUCUACUAAAAAUACAAAAAUUAGCUGGGCGUGGUGGCGCAUGCCUGUAGUCCCAGCUACUCGGGAGGCUGAGGCAAGAGAAUCGCUUAAACCCAGGAGGCAAAGGUUGCAGUAAGCCAAGAUCGUGCCACUGCACUCAAGCCUGAUGACAGAACAAGACUCCAUCUCAAAAAAUAGGAAUAAUAAAUAAAACAAAUAAAAUUCAGUUACUUCUGGAUUUUCUCUGUUGUCUUCCUUCUCCUUUAGAUGGCACCUGUGUGGGGUAGCCUACGUGGUAUUCUGGCAAGGGGUGCCUCUCCUGAGAUGUAUCCCGCCUCUGGUUACUAGCACUCCAGCAAUGUUCAUUACUUCACCUGGUCUUGCAGCUUUCUCAUAAUGUGCUUUUGUCACUUCUGCCAGAUACCUGGGUUUAUCCAUGCUCUGCUACUCUUGAACUCUUCUCAUGUGGGUGGAAACUUUGCACUGCUCUUCCAUGUUUUCUCUGGGGUUGCUAGAGAUGAGUAGAACACCCUGGCCUUCUCUGACCUGGGCUGGGAACUAGGUCUGUCUGACAAUGUCCUUGCAUUUAAUACGCAUCCCGCCUCUUCCCAUAGCCAACUUCUUGAGUGGAAAACACUCCCAAGCCUGCUAGUGCUCCCCUAGCAGUGGUGUCUCUUGAGUUGGAAAAACAGGAUGUCUUCUCUUUCAGGGCCAUGAUCUGAGGCAGGCAGGGACUCGAAGGGAAGAGGAGGCAUCCACUUGAUAGCCCUUUACAAAAGGAACCUACUUGUGCUUCCCAGAUCUAUGCAUGCUCCAGCCAGCUUAAGUCCAACCUAUUGGCUCUGUUUGAUUCAGCAACUUCAGACUCUGGUUAGGCCAGAUGGAAAAUCAGUCCUGGAAAAGCGAAAAUGUGAAAAACUGUGGCAGAGAAGGUCAUUCACUCCC